rnacentral:lncRNA from 1 species
UCAAGGCUGCUUUCCAACUUGACCGUGGCCACAAAAGCACAGACCCCACGGCUUCUUGGCAAUUAAAUGGUUUUCACACUUCUAUUUUUAAAAGGCUUGGAAACGAGGAACGUAGGGGAUCAGGGCGGUUGGGUAAACGAAUGUCUUUCCAAAGUUCUGCUAGCCAGAGGCCCUGUCCUGGCAGGGGUCCCAAAGCAACUGUGAAACCAAGAUGCCACGACAGGGCCCGGUCUGCAAGCCUGUUCCUCAGAUGGGAAAAACAGAAACAUCCCAGUCCCUCAGUCUGUCCUAUGUGACGACAAAGAGUUCGUGUCCCCAAGUGGUCCAGAUGAUUGUCCCCUGCUCUGCACGGGAAUGUAAAGCUUUCACAUUUGGGAUUCUAUUGCACGGGUCCCGGGAAGCCGACUCAGAUGGAGGAGAACCUGUAAUGGCUACCCUAAUGCAUACACAUUUGUGCUUGUUUAUAAGCUCUUUCUUCAAAACGUAUUUUCUUACAUCGCUUCUGUCCCUUAACCUAUGCCUAUGGCCCAAGGCAACACUAUUGAAAACUUGUCCUUUUCUCCUUGUGCGUUCAAACAUAUUCACACGAAAAGGGAGUCAACCCUUUUUUUGUCACUAAUUAUCUUACAAAAGUUGGAUCAUACUAGAUGCGAUUCUCUGCCACUUGUUUUGCUCCCUGAACAAUAAAUACAUAAUGAAAACCCCUCUGCUUGGGGAGAUAAGAGUUCUCACUCGUUCUUUUUAACAGUGUGUAAUACUCCAUGGUGUGGACUGACUAGAGCACGUCUACACAGCCAAGAGAUUUUUUUUUGCCCAACGGUAAAAGAGAAAUAGAUAUUUUUUUAAAUGCUGGAGACUUCACUGAAUUCAUUUUACCCGGCAGGGAGCUAAACUACCUGUCAGGUUCAAAAGCCAAGCCCAUCAGCCCUGGGUGUGGGUUUGUCGGAAAGGACAAGAAAGGACUCUGCCCGGAGGAGUCCGCUCUCCUGCCAGGAAGAGGAGGACGUGGCCGUUAGACAGCAAGCCCCACAGCUGUCUGAAGGAGGGUGAAACGUGUGCCUGCAGGAGUGAAGUUUCGAGUUAACCCCCGGAGAGGGCAGCCCUGAUGGAGAAAACCCAAGAAGGAAAGUGCGGAGGUGGGAAAUUAUCUGAUGUGCUGUGUGGCUGGCACACGAAGCUAGGUAGGAAAAAAUGGGCUUCUUGCAAGGACUGGCUGAACCGCCAUCUCUUUCCCACUGACUUCGCCCUGGAAUUUCAUCAGCCCCGGGUUAUUUUGGGCCUUUCGUUUC